ensembl:lncRNA
CCUUGAAGGCUAACACUUCUUUCUUGGGAGACUAAGACACAGGAAAUACAGUGUCUCCAAGGAGGCAGCUAUUUGAUUUCACCAGGCUGGGGUGGUUGUGGGGGAAUGGGCAAUAAGGAAACAGGAGGGGGCAUCCAGCUGUGCACUUGGCUAUUCUUCACCCUUGGAAUUUAUAUAUGAUAUGGAGAUAAAUUGGACUUCCCUGGUGGUUCAAUGGUAAAUAAUCUGCUUGCAGUACAAGAGGUGUGGGAGGAGCCGCAGGUUCGAUAGGAUUCUGGGUCGGGAAGAUCCUGUGGAGAAGGAAAUGGCACCCCACUCCAGUAUUCUUGCCUAGAAAAUCCCAACAACAGAGGGGCCUGGUGGCCUACAGUCCAUGGGGUUGCAAAGAGUUGGACACAACUGAGUGACUAAACAACAAAUGGAGAGAAAUUGACCAAAGAGGCUGGAAGUCCAAGAUGAAGCUGUUGGCAGUGCUGAUUUCUUCUGAUGGCUGCCAGGGAGGAUCUGCUCCAUGUCUCUCCCCUAGCUUCUGCUGCUUUGCUGGCAAUCUCUGGAGUUCCCUGACUUCUGCUACAUCACCCCCAUCUCUGCCUUCAUCUUCACAUGGGAUUUGUUCUCCCUGUGCGCCUGUGUCCAAAUCUCCCCUUUUUGUAAGGACAAGUUGGAUUAGGGGGAUACCGAACUCCAGUAUGGCAUCAUCUUGACUUAAUUACAUCUGCAGGGAAGGACCCUGUUUCUAAAAAAGGAUCCCACACAACCGAUAUUGUGGCUUCUCAGUGAUCUUGUCAGGCGAUUCAGCAUCACUCAGGGUUGACGUACUGGAGCCUUAGGACCGCUCAGCACCUGAUG